UACGGAGGGUGCAAGCGUUAUCCGGAUUUACUGGGUUUAAAGGGUGUGUAGGCGGGCCAUUAAGUCAGGGGUGAAAUCCCGGAGCUCAACUCCGGAACUGCCUUUGAUACUAUUGGUCUUGAAUGUUGUUGAGGUGGGCGGAACGGGUCAUGUAGCGGUGAAAUGCAUAGAUAUGACCCGGAACACCGAUUGCGAAGGCAGCUUGCUAAACGAUUAUUGACGCUGAGGCACGAAAGCGUGGGGAUCAAACAGG
rnacentral:rRNA from 1 species